rnacentral:misc_RNA from 1 species
ACAGAAUCUGGAACCCUUAAAGGUUUCUUUCCCUCCCUGCUCUAAGCAUAAACAAACGAAAGAAAAGGAAAAAGAGCAAGAAUCUCUUCCUAAUUGCUAACUUUUUGUUUAUUAGUUUGAACUUCCUUUACAGCUCGUGUUAUGUUUUUGGAGUGAUGAGUUUGUGACCCCCUUAGUAGCCUUUCGUUUUGAUAAUUUAUCAUCUUGAGUCACAAAUUUACAGUAAUUGAUAUCUUUAUUUAUGUUAUGAUGUUUAUAGUUUUGUUUGUCCUAGGUACUAUCUGGAUUUUCCUUUGAUCUAUCGAUAAAGGAAGCUGCUAUGAAUGUCCUAGGUAAACUGGCAGCUGAAAUGCCGCAUUUACCCGAUGAUGCGAAGGACAGAAGCACUCAAGAAGCUUCCCUGGAG